rnacentral:rRNA from 1 species
AGUGGGGAAUUUUGGACAAUGGGCGCAAGCCUGAUCCAGCCAUGCCGCGUGCAGGAUGAAGGCCUUCGGGUUGUAAACUGCUUUUGUACGGAACGAAAAGGUUCUUUCUAAUAAAGAGAGCUCAUGACGGUACCGUAAGAAUAAGCACCGGCUAACUACGUGCCAGCAGCCGCGGUAAUACGUAGGGUGCAAGCGUUAAUCGGAAUUACUGGGCGUAAAGCGUGCGCAGGCGGUGAUGUAAGACAGUUGUGAAAUCCCCGGGCUCAACCUGGGAACUGCAUCUGUGACUGCAUCGCUGGAGUACGGCAGAGGGGGAUGGAAUUCCGCGUGUAGCAGUGAAAUGCGUAGAUAUGCGGAGGAACACCGAUGGCGAAGGCAAUCCCCUGGGCCUGUACUGACGCUCAUGCACGAAAGCGUGGGGAGCAAA